rnacentral:tRNA from 1 species
AUUGAUGUGGCAGAUUAUGUGAAGAGUUUAAGACUCUUUAAAGUUUAUACCUUCAGUA